GCAGUCGUAGUCUAGUGGUUAUGAUGUGGCCUUUACAUACUAUCGCGUGUGCGGCCAAGGUCGAGGGUUCGAUCCCCUCCGACUGUA